GGGGAUGGAGCACUGCUGGUGUGGUGCACGGUCUUCAAAACCGUUGUGGGGCUGGCUGAUCCAGUCCCGGGUGGGUUCGAUUCCCACGCAUCCCCGA
rnacentral:tRNA from 1 species